rnacentral:misc_RNA from 1 species
AAGUCGUAACAAGGUAACCGUAGGUGAACCUGCGGUUGGAUCAUUAAAAAAAGCAUUUUCUCGCAAAAUGAUAACCCCAUGUGCACUAAUUCUUGUUUUUGGGUAGUCUCUUACGAGCUGCCCACCAGUAUAAACCCUACUAUUUGUCUGAUAUUAUGUAAAUAAUAAAAAACAACUUUUGACAACGGAUCUCUUGGCUCUC